AGAAUCCGUGAACAUGGCGAACGAGUUUUGCACCAAGCCGGUGGUAUUCAGAACAGCCUGAGCAAAAGAAUUUCUUCAGGCAUAUGUUAAGCAUGCAGAUUUCUUGGACCCCAUGCCAGACCUGCUGAAUCAGAUUCUCUCGGAACUUGUGUUCUUAACCUGCUUUUGCAUAUGCACUGUAGAAGGCCAUUAAAUAUUUGAUGAGUACAACUUUUUAACCAAAAGAUACUUUUCUAUCUGACCAGGUUAUCAAGUGCAAGGCUGCAGUUGCUUGGGAGGCUGGAAAGCCUCUCUCCAUAGAGGAGAUAGAGGUGGCACCCCCAAAGGCUCAUGAAGUUCGAAUCAAGAUCAUUGCCACUGCGGUUUGCCACACCGAUGCCUAUACCCUGAGUGGAGCUGAUCCUGAGGGUUGUUUUCCAGUGAUCUUGGGACAUGAAGGUGCUGGAAUUGUGGAAAGUGUUGGUGAGGGAGUUACUAAGCUGAAGGCGGGUAAGGAGAAUACUUGAACCACUUGUUUAAUAAUUUUGGCUUAUUCCUAUGGGGAA
rnacentral:lncRNA from 10 species